rnacentral:rRNA from 1 species
UACGUAGGGAGCAAGCGUUGUCCGGAAUCAUUGGGCGUAAAGCGCGCGUAGGUGGCUUCGUAAGUCCGUUGUGAAAGUCAAAGGCUCAACCUUUGAAAGCCGAUGGAUACUGCGGAGCUAGAGUACGGAAGAGGCGAGUGGAAUUCCUGGUGUAGCGGUGGAAUGCGCAGAUAUCAGGAGGAACACCAAUAGCGAAGGCAGCUCGCUGGGACGUUACUGACACUGAGGCGCGAAAGCGUAGGGAGCGAACAGG